AAAUCAAGAUUCACUUGCACGUUCACUUACACAUGCUACUUCUACUCCAGAAGUACGCAUCCACAUAUAUCCACUCAUUUCCAUCUCCAGAUUCACCCAAAAUUAUUCUACUCCUAAUUCGGGAGAGAAUAGCCAAAAACAUUAUCCUAUCCCUGUUAUUCCCUGUGAAAUAAAUGCUCGAGUUAUCUUAGUUACUACCACUUGCUAUAUUAUUUAAGGAGAUGAGCGCUCUAAAAAAAAGAGGAUACGAGGAAAUAAAAAGGGGCAAGUGCUCGGAACCUCGAAGAAAAGAAAAAGUGAGACGAGAGGUAAAAAUGGACAAGUGUCCGACAGUAGAAUUAGGGGUACAAGAUACCCACCUGAGAGAAAAGAAAAAGAAAAUAUAGAGCAUCUCAUUCUCCUCAAAAAACUUCAAAGUGCAAGAAAGGUAUGUAUCCCCUCAAAAGAGCAAAAGAAUUAGACUUUCACCAUUGUUAUCACCAUCAUCACCAUACACCAUUCACUCGCCACACAAGCACAUCUUGAUUUGACUUAUUGACUUGUUCUUCUAGAUCCAUGGUUUGACUAUGCAAUAAAUGUCUUAUAAGUAUGUAUUAUCUGUCUCCCACCUAUGAGCUCCAGAUAUCAAAACCUUAUUAGAGUAGGGUGA
rnacentral:lncRNA from 1 species